AUUAUGUAGAGUUUACUUUAAUACCCCUUCUGUCUUUUUCCCAUGGUGAUGUUGGUAUUUGUGGGAAUAUUUCUGAUUUUAAUAUAUAUUAUCUUUUUUGGAAAUCAUGCUUUCAACAAGAUCAUUAUUGUGCAAUAAGAAAUGGCUGAAUGUUUCACAAUAGAGUGGGUUUUUUUCAGUGGUUCUAUAGAUUUGUGGGGCCCCGGUGGGAAGGUAACGGCGCUCCAUGCAGUCAUGUCAGCCACAUGACCUUGGAGGCGUCUGCGAACAACGCCGGCUCUUCGGCUUAGAAAUGGAGUUGAGCACCAACCCCCAGAGUCGGUCACGACUGGACUUAACGUCAGGGGAAACCUUUACCUUUACCUAUAGAUUUGUACACCUCCUUUAAACAAUGUACUUAGAAUUCCUACUGCAGGAAAAAUCUCAUUACUGUGAUUUAGAGAGUAGACAUACAGUCAGCAUUUACACAAUAUGGCCCCAUCUACACUGCCUUACAAUGCAGUCUGAAACUAUUUCUGCAUUGAAAAAUUAGUUGCAUCACUCGAUGAUCUUGUUACAUGAUUGAUAUCUUCCCAAAGAAGCUUAAUUUGUUUUUCAGAAACAAUAACUCAGUGGUUCUUAACCUGUGGGUCCUCAGUUUACCAGCUGUUGGGAUUUCUGGGAAUUGAAGGCCAAAACAAGGACCCACAGGUUGAGAACCACUGCAAUAAAGGAUGACAGUACUUUGCGAUUAAUAAAAAUAUUAAUCCAGAUAGGGG